GUUUUAAAAUCAUUAUGCCCAUUUUUGGUGGCUACUACCAUGGAGCCAAAAUGGGGUAAAGUCUCAGAGGCAGAGGAGUGCAGAGACGAUGCACCCUUAGCAAGGGUGACUCAGGAAAACUGUACAACCAGGUGACUUUGAAUAUCCACAGAGAAGCAUCUGCGGUCCCAGAAUAUUAAAACCAAACCCUGAAAAUGGCCCCAUCUCCCAAAGAGGUAAGAAGAGAAAUAACAAUAAAUUUGUUAAUUGCAGAAAUUUGCACAAUUCAGAUAUGAAUGGGCUAGUGCAGAAGGCUUUGAAUGCAUCAAAUGUCUACGAAAACAUUGUCAAUUAUGUUGAUGAAGCCAAUAAAACAGCAGAAUUGGCUUUGAAUAUAACUGAUCGAAUUUACGAUGCUGUGAGCGGGAUUGAUACUCAAAUCAUUUACCAUAAAGAUGAAAGUGACCACCUUCUCAAUCAAGCCAGAGAACUGCAAGCAAGGGCAGAUUCUAGU
rnacentral:lncRNA from 1 species